rnacentral:rRNA from 1 species
AUUGAACGCUGGCGGCAUGCCUUACACAUGCAAGUCGAACGGUAACGCGGGGCAACCUGGCGACGAGUGGCGAACGGGUGAGUAAUGUAUCGGAACGUGCCCAGUUGUGGGGGAUAACUGCUCGAAAGAGCAGCUAAUACCGCAUACGACCUGAGGGUGAAAGCGGGGGAUCGCAAGACCUCGCGCAAUUGGAGCGGCCGAUAUCAGAUUAGGUAGUUGGUGGGGUAAAGGCUCACCAAGCCAACGAUCUGUAGCUGGUCUGAGAGGACGACCAGGCACACUGGGACUGAGACACGGCCCAGACUCCUACGGGAGGCAGCAGUGGGGAAUUUUGGACAAGGGACGCAAGUCUGAUCCAGCCAUGCCGCGUGCGGGAAGAAGGCCUUCGGGUUGUAAACCGCUUUUGUCAGGGAAGAAACGCUCUGGGUUAAUACCUCGGGGUAAUGACGGUACCUGAAGAAUAAGCACCGGCUAACUACGUGCCAGCCGCCGCAGUAAUAC